rnacentral:rRNA from 1 species
GACAGAGGGUGCAAACGUUGUUCGGAAUUACUGGGGCGUAAAAGCGCGUGUAGGCUUGCUCAGAAAGUCGGAUGAGAAACGGCCCUGGGACCUUUGAAACCGUAGGAAGUGCAUUCGAAACAUUCUGGAGCUGGAGCUUCGUGGAGAGGGGAAAGGCGGGAAAUUUCUCCGGUGUAGAGGUGAAAAUUCGUAGAUAUCGAG